GACACACGAUGGACGAGAAUCCACUCGCGUCAACGGGUGUAGCAAGUCUCAUUGAAAAAGGCUGCGGCGUAUCCCGAGUAAGACCUCUUGCUAUAGGGUUCGCUUUGUAGCGUGUAAGAGAAAUACACAUCAACAGACGACUCACCCGGGUGAGGGGAUGUAGCCAAUAUGUAUCCUCAACGGGUUGAGCUUACCCGUGCUAUGCUUCUUUCUAUAGGAUAUGCUUUGUAGUCCAAGCGGACAUGUGUGUACGUGUAUAACGUAUGCGACGCACAUGCAUGAUGAAGCCAUAAAAUUGUCUGUGGACUACAUGUGAUUUUAGGCUUAUUUUUCUCACGGGAGUUUCGGACCCAGUGUAUGACUAUGAACUCAUUGGCAUCCUGUCUACGAUUAGAUUAGAGAUGCCGAAAAGAAAAGCCAAAACUGUUGACGGUAGAAGGAGCUUAGAUGCAUGAAAUUAUGAAGCCAUAAAAUUGUCUGUGGACUACAUGUGAUUUUAGGCUUAUUUUUCUCACGGGAGUUUCGGACCCAGUGUAUGCUAUGAACUCAUUGGCAUCCUGUCUACGAUUAGAUUAGAGAUGCCGAAAAGAAAAGCCAAAACUGUUGACGGUAGAAGGAACUCAGAGAAAAAAAAACAACGAAGAGAAUUCUUAAAACAACAAUCGAGAGAAAGACAAAGUAACUCUACGGCUCAACUACCACCAACUAAUGCUCAGGAUUUCACAGAGUUUACAGAACGACAAGGUGAUUCUCCUGCUCACCUACCAGCAACUGAUGCUCAAGAUUCCACAAACUGUACAGAAAGACAAGGUGAUUCUCCUGCUCACCUACUACCAAGUGAUGCUCAA